ensembl:rRNA 5S_rRNA 5S ribosomal RNA
GCUACGGCCAUACCACCCUGAGCGCGCCCGAUCUCGUCUGAUCUCGGAAGCUAAGCAGGGUCGGGCCUGGUUAGUACUUGGAUGGGAGACCGCCUGGGAAUACCAGGUGCUGCAAGCU